rnacentral:rRNA from 1 species
CCUACGGGUGGCAGCAGUAAGGAAUAUUGGUCAAUGGACGAAAGUCUGAACCAGCUAUGCCGCGUGAAGGAUUAAGGUCCUCUGGAUUGUAAACUUCUUUUAUCUGGGACGAAAAAAGGUCUUUCUAGAUCACUUGACGGUACCAAAUGAAUAAGCACCGGCUAACUCCGUGCCAGCAGCCGCGGUAAUACGGAGGGUGCAAGCGUUAUCCGGAUUCACUGGGUUUAAAGGGUGCGUAGGCGGGCAGGUAAGUCAGUGGUGAAAUCCUGGAGCUCAACUCCAGAACUGCCAUUGAUACUAUCUGUCUUGAAUAUUGUGGAGGUAAGCGGAAUAUGUCAUGUAGCGGUGAAAUGCUUAGAUAUGACAUAGAACACCCAUUGCGAAGGCAGCUUACUACGCAUAUAUUGACGCUGAGGCACGAAAGCGUGGGGAUCAAACAGGAUUAGAUACCCCAGUAGUC